UUUAUUAUACACUUUUAAAACCCAUUAGAGAUUUAAUUAGAAAUUUGCAACAAAAUGACGAAAAAUUACAGCAAUUUCGCAAAAAAAUAAGAAACAAUUGGAUUAUAACGCCAAAUAACAUUCUUUAUUACAAAUCGAAAUUUUACGUGCCCAUAAACGGUAACGUAAGGAAGGAGUUUUUGGAACUUUAUUAUAACGACCCAUAUGCGGGAUAUUGGAAAAUCGCCAAAAUUUUAAAGCUAAUUUAAAGGAAAUAUUAUUGGGAGCAGAUAAGGGAUAAUGUUAAUUGGUAUUUAAAAUCGUGCAACACCUGUAUAAUAAUAAAACCAACCAAGCACCGCCAAUACGGUAUAUUGCAACCAUUACCCCUACCCAACAAAACCUGGGAUGAAAUAUCUUUGGACUUUAUUAUCGGGUUGCCCGAGGUGGAGCACAAUUUUACCACGGUGGACGCCAUCCUAAUUAUAAUAAACAGACUGACCAAAAUAGCGCGGUUUUUACCCAUUAAAAACGAUAUGGAUAUUUCCGAAUUUGCUCAACUUUUUACCAAAGAAAUUAAAUACCGCUAUGGACCUCCAUUGGGUAUUAUUACCGACAAAGAUAAAUUAUUUACGAGUAAAUUUUGGAAAGAAUUAUAUUAUAAAUCAAAUAUUAAAAAACGCAUAUUUAUAACAUUCCAUCCGCAAACAAACGGGCAAACCGAAAAACUUAAUUAAAUUAUUAAACAAUAUUUCAGGUAUUACGCAGGGGAACAAUAAAAUAUUUGGGCCCAGUUUUUGCCCACAAUUAAAUACGCCUACAACAACGCACCUUAAAAAAUAAUAGGUAUAUCGCCUAUAAUGGCGUUUAUGGGAAAAAAUGGAAAUUUCCAUUUAAAACCCGAGGACGUAUUAUUAAAAGGGGGGAUAAAAAUUAUACCAGCAAUGCAAAACAGGUUUAAAAAACUUACCAAACUGAGGGAAAACCUGCGAAAAAAAUGGAUUCAAACAAUGGAACGAUAUAAGAAAUAUUACGACAAAAAACACAAACCCAUGGAAUUUAAACGAGGUAAUUGGGUACGAUUAUUUACGCGCAAUAUUAAAUUAAAAGGAGCGCCAAAUUUAAACCCAAAUAUAUUGGACUUUUUAAAAUCCUAUAUAACGUGGGAAAACAGGCGUAUCGUUUGGCUUUACCAAUAUAAUUUGAAAGGUUAUACAAUAUCUUCCCAAUACAACUUUUUAAAUUAUGGGAGCCCAGGGACCCAAACGACCACGAAACCAUACCUUGCCCAGACUUUAAAAACGAAGAAAACUGGGACGUGGAAAAAAUUAAAAAUAUAAAUAUUAAAAAUGGGGUUAUUUAUUAUCUGGUUAAAUGGUUUAAUUAGCCAGCAAAAUACAAUUAAUGGGUACCUGAGGAAAACUUGUUUGCAAAAGGCAAAAUAAAACAGUUUUUACGGAAAUAGUCCAAAAAAACCAAACUAAAGGGAAGACCACCAUUAUAAAAUAAAAACGCAGGGGUAAAACGCACAAAACGCAAAAGGGAUUAAAACCCCUCCGAAUUUAAUUAAUAUUAGCAACGUUAAAUAUAAAGAGAAACCCAUACCAAACCCCAACCUAACCCUGACGUUUGUUGGGCGAUUCCAAAGGAGCACUAAAGCGCUUUUUGGGAAAUAUACCAAUCGAAAACUAAUUUCGUCCAGCACCACCAGACAGAAAUAAACGCGAAAAGCGGGAGGUUAUUUGGUUAGCAGGAGAACGGCCUCCACGCUGCGAGGUAGGGCGAGGAGGAAUAACGGGGUUUCCAUUAGGACGAAUAAAUUGCAACUUUUCGUUGCUACGCAAAACCGUUUGGCUAACGACGGUCCUGGCGUAGGACGGCCGGGCAGGCGUUUUUACGGGGAUAGCCCUGCGUUCCUUAAGUUUUUGGUAUAUAUGUCCCGAAUUAAAUACAGUAAUUUUACCAGGCCGAAAAGCAAGGGGAAUACCAGUGCUAAAAAGGCCAGGUGGAGGAAAACCACCAGGGCCUCGAGGCCGACCAGGAGUGGGAGGACAAAUUUAAUUCCGCAUUUGGGAAAACGCAGGGGAAACCCGAAAUUCCUGGAAAAGAGCAGGUGGAGGAUCCGGAACGUUACCAUUAUUAGGACCAGGACCAUUAUUGGGAUUAGCAGGUGCAAAAUCGAUAGGGGGACGAUAGGUUUCCACCUACGCCACUUUUUGCUAUUCCCAAUAUAACCAUACCUUUUCGAACUUUAUAUUUAUUAUUUGGAAAACGCGGUAAUGGGGAAAUAAAAACGUAAAUCGAAAAACCGCCAACGUAUGGGACGUAAUACGCUGUUAAGCCGUUUGGGAAACGCAGGGGGUUAAUCGAGAAAUUCCUAAGGCAGGAACGUUGGGGUUUACCAAAUUAAAAGGCGUAACCUCCAUAAUUCCAGGGUAAUAAUCCCUGGCAGUUUUUAUCUCGUUUAAAAUACGAAAAUAUUCGGCUCUGUUUUUAAACGGGCCCGUUUGGCCCAAACGUUUGCGUUCCUCAAUUUCCAAAUAAUCGGCAAACGAUAUAAAAUCGACCAAAACCCCAAACAGCUUUUUAAUUUCGGCAGGCAGAUUUUUACCAGCGUCAAACUGGGCAACGAGCUCCACAAUAUCGAACAAAUAAAAAAGGUCCACGAAAUUGCCCUUUAUAAUCGCAAUCGCCUAAUAUAAAUUAAUUAAAAAAAUCGCAAGGCGGUAAAAAACAGGGAAACGCAAAAAUAAAACAACCUACCAAUUCGCAAAUACGUAAAUUUUUUUUACAAUAAAGGCAAAAUUUGCUUAUCCUACCCGUUUUAAAAAAUAUUCCCUAAAUAUAUUUAAAAUCGGGGAGAUUUUCGGUAUUUUUGGCGAUUUUGACGGCGCGACGGAAACAUUUUAUGCAAAUAAUGCGGUUAUGGGUUAUACCAGUACCAAUUUUAAUAGGAGCGGGCGCAGGGGGAGCGCGAACGCUUCCUCGGGCAGGACCUGCCACAGAACCAGCUUUAAAAAGCAUAAUAAAAAUAACAAAAAUCGAUUUAAUGCAAAAAAAACGCGACCAAAACGCAAAAAUAACGCGUGCAAAAAAUUAACGAGACCUCGUGUCGGAAGGUGAAAAGAAAGGAAAAGAAAAAUCUGACUGAAAAUUUUUUCCGUCAGAAAUUAAGGAGGUAAUUGACGUUUAGACCAGGUGGGGUUUACGAAUCGUUAACGUUAUAACCCAUUGUCUGUAACCCAACACCGCCGCCUACCAAUGGGAACCCACGCGAGGCAAUUGCGUUUUGUUUGCGUUUGUUAAAAAUUACCCCGCCUUAUACCUGAAAUUGCUGCCUAGGACGAGGACGCCCUUAUUAGGGGGGGGAUAAUUAUUACGUGCAGACUUAUUAGUGCCUAAAUGCUAGCGUACAACCUUAGGGGCUGGGUUCUGCUGAACCUGUAAACUCGCGUUACGUAAACGCAAUAGGAACGCCGUUUAUAAAUAAGGGCUCCUAAAUCUUAAGGAUAGCAGGUUAAUCCUGAAUUUUUAAAGAUCAAUCUCUAAUCCAAAUGCUAUUGUUAUAAUGCUAUCGUGGAUUAUUAUACGCUAUAUUAUUACCCUGUAUCUUGUUGAUUACCGUGUGCCUAGCCUGUACCCAGUCCCCGGUUGUGACAAUAUCGAUAUAUAUGCAACCAUUUUUGCGAAACGUGGAGGUUAAAAACUAAUAUAAAUAAUUAAUAACGUAUUUUGGGAUAAUUAACGUUUACUGUUGGUAUAUUAUAUUUUGCAAUUACCUUUUAAUUUUUUAAUUGCAGAAUUCCACAGGAUAAAUGCCGUUUUUAGGCCUUAGACGAAAUUGGUAUACGACCCGCCAAUCCCCUGUUCGAAAAGCAAUAAAAUCUUCCAGCGCUGAAAUGCCUGUUAAAUUUCGAAAUGUUUUUUUUCGACCCAAAUUUUUGAAUAAUUUUUGGCGUUUAAAUAUUAUAUGCAUUAUGCGAAAAAAAUGGUCCCGGUACCAAUCGCUUUUUUAAUUAAUUAUAUAUUGCCGGUAUUUUUAAAGCUUUUAUUUUACGAAUUUUCGACGAUUUUCGUACGCCUAUUUGCGAACGGUUAUAUAUUAUUCGUGUUUCUUUUUUUUAAAAAGGGCGUCGUCGAUAAAAAUAUUAAAUGUAAAAAUAUAUUUUUUCAAUCGAAUAUAUUUUUCGUUUUGUUUUAGCUGGUCGAUUUCCCGUGCCGGAAAUUGCAAAACCAGGUCGUUAUUCCAUUUUAUCGUUGCCGAUCGGAAAUCUUUAAUAAAAUUACGCCUAAUAUCCAUUUCCAAAUAAUUUGCCACGCCAUCCAUUAUAUUUAUUGCACCCAAAUAAUAUUUUUGAAAAAUUAAUAAAUUUUUAUAGUCCGCAAAAAAUUGGAAUUGUUCGACCGAUUAACCAUUAUUUCCUAUAAUAAAAUUAACAUAAUAUGGAAAUGGUAAAACGCUAAUUUUUUACCGUUGGUUUUAAUAAAAGUUUCCUUUCGUACGUUAUAAAAGCCGCUAAUACCAUUUACAAAUUUUGCGCGUUUUACCCAAUUUGAAAUAUAUUGUAAUACGUUAUUUGAAUU
rnacentral:sRNA from 1 species